GAUGAAGAACGCAGCGAAAUGCGAUACUUGGUGUGAAUUGCAGAAUCCCGUGAACCAUCGAGUCUUUGAACGCAAGUUGCGCCCGAAGCCACUAGGCCGAGGGCACGCCUGCCUGGGCGUCACACGCCGUUGCCCCCCCAUCUACUCCUUCGGGAUUGCGGGGGGGCGGAUGAUGGCCUCCCGUGCGCCUAGCCGCGCGGUUGGCAUAAAUACCAAGUCCUCGGCGACGCACGCCACGACAAUCGGUGGUUGCGAAACCUCGGUUGCCCGUCGUGUGCGUUCGUCGCGCAUCGAGGGCUCGAAAAAAUGCUCGGCUCCGGCUGGGCUUUCAACGCGACCCCAGGUCAGGCGGGGCUACCCGCUGAAUUUAAGCAUAUCAAUAAGCGGAGGA
rnacentral:misc_RNA from 1 species